GAUGAACGCUGGCGGCGUGCCUAAUACAUGCAAGUCGAACGAACAGAUGAUGAGCUUGCGGCUUUCACGUGAGCGGCGGACGUGUGAGUAACACGUGUAUAACGUACUUGAAAUACGGGUAAAUUUUGGGAAAACGGGAUCAAAUACGGUAGAAGAUAUUGAUGCGCAGGGUGGAUUGGUAAGUUACGGUGUUGGGGGAUGGAAUAGCGGCUUCCCCGCCGCAUGGGGUAGUUGUUAAGUUAACGGCUUACGAAGGCAAGGAGGCGUAGCCGAGGUGAGGGAGUGAUAGGCCACACUGGAACUGAGACACGGUCCAGACUCCUACGGGAGGCAGCAGUAGGGAAUCGGACGCAAUGGGCGAAAGCAUGACGGAGCAACGCCGCGUGAGUGAUGAAGGUCUUCGGAUCGUAAAGAUCUGUUAUUAGGGAAGAACAAAUGUGUAAGUAACUAUGCACGUCUUGACGGUACCUAAUAAGAAAGCAACGGCUAACUACGUG
rnacentral:rRNA from 1 species